AAGUGGGGCCCACCCAAAUUCCAUUUGCUCGGUUCGAAAUCUAGAAUCCACCGUGAGGUGAAGAGAGAAUCUGACGCAAAUGGCGCCGCGGCGGCCACCGCCGGAGAAGCAGCAGCUCGCCCGCCUCUGCGACCUCGUCGCCGCAGCUCUGCUACCCCACCUGGAGGCAGAAACAUCGCCGACGCGGCAGCUCACACGGGAGGAAGAGCGGCGCCUCCUUCUCGCGCUCUCCAGGGUAAACAAGGCGAUUCGAGGAUGGGAACAGGAGGAGGAGGAGGAGAGAGGGUGUGAAUCCGAUCAGGGAACUGACUCAUGUUCCGGAAAGGUUCAUAGUUGCCGUUUACCUCCUGAACAGCAUCCAUAUGAUGAAUUUGGCUGCCUGGCGAAUAUGGUCUCCAUAUUGGUUGGUUUCCUUGGUUUCUGCAGUGACUAUGUCAAACACUCAGCCGGCAAUAUCUUGGUUUCCAUAUCUAGUACCCUAAUUAAGUUUGAAUCUAUUUGGGUUCAGUUUAUUGAGCUCGUCUGGGUAGCUAUACAUGCAACAUCAAAAUGUGUUGCUUUACCUUCUACAACUGACUCCAGAAGUUGUGACACUGUUUCAAAUACAAGUAUCACAAACUUCAUGGAAGUACUUAACCUGUAUUGUCCCAGUACCAGUGGGCUAAUGAUGGCCAGUCUCUUUCGAGUAUUACAUGCUAUCGUAAAGUUCCUCAAAAACACCGACAGUGGAUUGAAAGAUGAUUUCAUUUGUCUAUCCAUUCAUCAUAUUCAGAAGAUGCCUUGGGACUCUUUUCAUCAAUUAGAUGCUGGAGAACUUGUCAGCCGUGCCAAGGAUAGCAGAUUUAGCUUCUGUAAUGAUUUGGUACAGUCCGGAGUUCUGACAGGCAGUCUUCUCCAGCUACUGUGCUCUUUACUUGAGCAAAGUUGCCUGGAAGGUACAGAUGGACAAGAUAUGUAUGUGAAACUCGUGGAUAUAGUUCCCAAGAUCGCAGCUUUCUUACAAGAGCAACAUGAUGGCCCCAAAAGCCUUUGUCAAUACUCAAAGCACAAAAUUCUGAUGGUAAUGAUGCGGCUUAAGCCUUACAUGCAGCAAGAUUGCUCAUAUAUUGUCUGUUGGCUGAAAUUACUUCGACAAUACUUUCAAGACCUUCUUCAUGAACCUAUCUCGCAACAUAUUGCUAAACCAGAUAAUUGUUUAGAAGGAUCUCCAUUCUUGUUGAACAUGGUAGGUUUAGUUGAGAGUCAGGAUAAAUCGACUCGUCACUUGCAAAGGCAAGCUGUCUAUUUGUUCCUUAGUUCUUGCAUAUGUUUGUCUUGCAACAGAAACAAUGGUAGACUUCAAUGUUCAUGCAAGAGGGAUGAUUGUUUGUUGGGUCACAAAGUGCAAGGCUGCAAUGAUCACUGCAAGUGUUUUGGUUUAUCAGAAAUCUCAGACUGGUUUCAGAGAUGUUACUUAGACACGAGUUUUGACUCAAAAUCGUCAACAGAUUUCGCCUUAUCCUUUCUGCGAUUGUAUAUGGAGGAGGAUGACAUGCUCUUCAGCAUUCUCUUGCAGCUUUUAGAUGCUCCACUUAUUGUCCUGGAAAUAGAUAACAUGGAAAUUACCGAACUGAUUGGUGCAGAACUGUUCUCAAGCAUUUUUGACCCAGUUCACCUUUUCCAUCUGUUGCUGUUGCUGCUGCACUAUGAUCACUUGGUACUUGUUGAUUAUCUCAUAUCUAAAGAUGUUGGUGUGCAUUGUGCUCAGUACCUGUUAAGGUGCUUACGCCUAGUUUCGCAGUCUUGGCAUGCUUUUGUUGAUGAUUCAGUUUACGAGAUAAAAAUAGAAAGGCUCAACUGUAAAAGGCAGAGGACCUCUAGGGAUAUAGAUAUUGCCAGAGGCAGCUCAAGUAAAGAGUAUAAGAUUGGUUCCGGUUGUGAUAAAGAAGGCAAGAAUUCACAGAAACUUUUCCUCAAUGCUAAAGUAUGUCUUUUUUCACUAAAGAGAACAGUGGAAGAUCUGCAAAAGAAGGGUUUGUUCCCUUACAAUCCAAAGCCUCUCCUUAGAAGCUUGGCCAGGUUUGAGGAGCUGUGCGAGCAGGGGUGAGAUUUGAGUUACAUCUGGUGAGAAGCUACUAUUUGUAAGGUCGAAGAAUGGCUUUUUGGUGAUCAGAUAGUUGUAUUUUCUUCACUCAUGACUUGGUUUGGUUCAAUUGAUAUAUUUGAGGAAACUUCAGAUGCUGCUAAUUUCGUGUAAGUUGCCUGCGACCAUGAUGUUGGUCCUUGCGAUGCACCGAACAGAGUUUCAGAAAUAGGUCUAUGUGUGUGGACAUCUUUUUGGUCCUCAGUCUCUGGAGUCGCAGAAUGAUGAAGUCCUUUAAAACAGGCGAGGAACAUGUUUUAGAUCUACAUGAUGUCUGCGUCCUUGGUUUGCAUAACGAGCUAAUGUUGAUUAUGAUAAACUGAAGGGAAAUGUUCAGCUGAGCAGAUACUUCAGCGUUAGAUUUGUAUAUCUGAAUAAAUCAGACGAUUAUUGAAAACCAGAGGACAGCUGGAUAUAGCUGAGAGCAUGAACACGGUUCAUCAAAGGGAAGUUGACAGUGUAUCCUCUGUGGAAGCAUGCGAUGUCGUUAGGGAUUGGCUGAGCAAUCGCAGACCAUGAAAUAGAUCAUUGGUCGGCUGUCGGUAUAGUAGUCAAAUCAGCACUUUGCCCUGCCUGUCUUUGUCCAUUCCUUUAAAAUUGAUGGACUCAGGAGUGGCUUAACCCCUUUUAAGAAGCAGCAUAAGACCUAAAGCGAGGAUAUAGAAUAGAAAGAAUGGUAGCCAGUUCUUUGAAAGUAGGAAGGAAGCCAAGGUUAUUAUGGUGUGUAGGGUCUUUCUCAAUCAGGAAAGUGUGAACUAAGAAGGAACUCGGCUUUCAGUGUCUUGAUAAAUGAUAAGUGGAUUUACAAAGAAUUGUUUUCCAGGCGUUACUUAUUAUAUAAUAACUCAUAUAAG